AGGGGUGACGAAAUACGGCAGUUGCGUGGUGUCAGGUUAGGGGUGACAGAAUACGGCCGAGGCGUGUCAGAAUGUAGAUGGCAAAAUAUGACUGAGCGUGUCAAAUUAUCGUAAAUCUGGCAGUAGGAUGCCGGUACGCAAUCAGUGACAGCGAGCUGGAUGAAAUCAAGGAUCACUAAAAUUUGAAAAUGAAAUUCGCCGAGUAUUUAUAUGUUUAUUGUAGCAAUUGAGCCUGUGUUAAGUACUACUAUCAACCUAAAUAAAGAUGUGAGGGUAUACCGGUAGUGACGCCAGGAAAUAUAUAUAGAAUUAAAUAGAAAUUAUUUAUUAAAUCGGCGAUGGCAAACAAACCUUGAAAAGGCUUAAAAGUGAAGAAACAAAUCUACCGAUAUAUGAUAUUGGCAUGAUUGAUAGUGGAGUGACGAUUGAUUGAUGUAGGUAGAAAGGGCUUUGCGGAGAAGGAAGAUAUUAUUAUUGCUGGUGGUCGAGUGACGAUUGGUCGAUGUAAAUGGAAAGGGCUUUGCAAAGAAGGACGAUAUUGUUACUGCUAGAGCAGGGGUGUCAAACAUGCGGCCCCAGAGAACUUCCAAUGCGGACCUCGAACGCUUAACAAUAAUUGUAAUAUUUUGGUUUUGUGAAGCUAGAAGAUAUUGUCGAUGUAAAUGAAAAGGUCUUUGUGAAGGUAGAAGAUAUUGUUACUGCUGGUGACGGAAAGAUAAGCUUAUUGUCAGCGUUCCUAAGUUAGAAAACAGGCUAAGCUGAAAAAGCCAAACUUACAUCUUUUAUUAUUCUCUGCUCUCUGUUUAUCUUGUCGGUCUAUUCCUUUUUCUGAAAGAAUCAGAUGACAUUUUUUAGACUUCACACUUUUGGAGAAAUGAGAGAUUGGAAGUGUCUAUCGCUUGUUAUCUAGAAUAAAAAUAAGAAAAUCGAUAUUCUUUGUUGUAAACAUUUUGAUGUCCUACAGAUUACAUGUCCUAGCAAUUGCAGAGGGCGAAUGAAAUCGUUUAUAAAAGUCUACAUAACGGGAGAGAGGAAGAAUUUUUUUUUGGCGUUCACUAACUAUCGGUAUAAAAGUGAUCGGCAAAUUUCGGCGCGUGACCCUCGAAAGACCAUCAUUUUCCCUCUCGCAAUCACAUUUAUUUCGUUAGCUGUCGACAGCUGUUGUACGGAGUUUAUUUUGUAGCAAAUAGCGAAAUCACAUGUCAAUUGUUCGAUUACUAGCCGAAUCGUUAGUUUUGAUGAACAGUUUAGUUUAUUUUGAUGUUUUGGAAAAUUAAUUUAAAUAAAAUAAAAUUUGGAAUAAAAAUGGCUAGGAAAGUUGGCGACGAUGUAUGACCAUUUUAAAGUGUUAAGACGUAAAAAUUCUUUGAGUCGAAUCCACUAGUUUUGUGGAUUUGCAUUCGAUAUCGAUUACAGUUGAUUUAUUAUUUUCAGUAUGUCAACAAAUGCACGAAACCGUACGAGAUAGUGGAAUCUCUCACCCACCUGCGUCAGCAGUACAAUCUUACUUUAUGGCUAAAUCUGCAAUUACAGAUACUUAUUGAAGAUCAAAUUGUCUUUGUUCAUUUCAGUCUGUAAAUAUUUCAAUGUGCUUUUACAUUAGACGCAGUUAUGUAAAACGCGAGGCAAGCUAAAAUACCUUCUUAGAAUUAAUGCGAUUUAUCUACAAAUGUUUGAUUAUCAAGAAGUUGGACGUUUUCAAACAGACUGAGGGGACGCAUCUGGCCACUUGUCAUUUAUGGGGUUUCGCGUUAAUUAAUCUGGAUAAUUACUAAAUUGGAAUCGCAUUGCUCGGUUUGGUCGUCGCAGCCUGUCUUAGUAUUCAAUGUAAACAAUGGUUUCAUGUCUGGUAUUAGAUUUAGUAUAUAUUUGUAAGUUUGCAGGUAGAAACAACAGUUUGGAUUUAAAUAGAUUUUGUUUGCAAUUAGAACAUAAUUUAGGACUCUAGGUUGGACUAACUGACAUAAUAGUGAUGCCUUUACAUCAUAUUUUAGACAUACAAGGUAAAUUGCUUCAAUCGAGGAUUAUACUUCGUUAGACUAUGUUACCUGGAGACUCAAAACAUUGAGUGUCGACGUGUUGAUUGAUAAUAAAGAAUUACACAAGUUCCAAGUUGGAUUCCUUCGUGGCAACAAUUCAAGACAGAGGGGGCAGUGUAUUGUAUUCAAUUUAGUUCUUUAAAUUAGUUUGAUAAAUUAUUCGAAAAAAAAUCAAUUUUGCUGCCUAUUUGUUACCUGGAUAGUAACUGGUUUUUGAAUUUGCAUGCUUUGUGACUUGUUGUAUGUGCCGUUCAUAAUAAAUAUAUGUUGUAAUUUAAUAGUAUUCUGAUACUGAGUUAG